UACAGAGGGUGCAAGCGUUAAUCGGAAUCACUGGGCUUAAAGCGUGUGUAGGCGGAUCGUUAAGUGUCUUGUGAAAUCCCACGGCUCACCCGUGGAACUGCUGGGCAUACUGGCGAUCUUGGGCCAACUAGGGGCAGCCGGAACAAGCGGUGGAGCGGUGAAAUGCGUAGAUAUCGCUUGGAACGCCGAAGGUGAAAACAGGCUGCUGGGGUUGCGCCGACGCUGAGACACGAAAGCCAGGGGAGCAAACGGG
rnacentral:rRNA from 1 species